rnacentral:misc_RNA from 1 species
UUUAUUGGCGAGUCAAAUGCUGAUAGCAAAAGUAAAAUCCGGAAGGAGAAGAGUAUUAUAAGAGAAGGAGUGGAAUUCUAUAGCAAUGGGGAUUUCUAUGAAGGAGAAUUUCACAAAGGGAAAUGUAGUGGUAGUGGGGUUUAUAACUACUUAGUCAAUGGGAGAUACGAGGGUGAUUGGAUUGACGGGAGAUAUGAUGGGUACGGCAUAGAGAAUUGGGCUAGAGGGAGUAGAUAUAGAGGGCAGUAUAGACAAGGUUUAAG